GUUCGGAUGCUGAUGUAAGUCCAGCGAUUGGCAUUCAGGCUCCACGUUUGCCUCUUGUGUGUGUUUUGGUUCGGAUGCUGAUGUAAGUCCAGUGAUUGGCAUUCAGGCUCCAUGUUUGCCUUUGCCUGUGUUUGUUUGUGUGCGUGUCAGCCGAGCUACGAAUGCUCUGAUUCUUCUCUCGUCCGAGAAGAUACGUAUGCACAGGAUGCGAUAUCCUAGCGAGCAUGUGUC
rnacentral:lncRNA from 1 species